UGGUGGAGCGAUUUGUCUGGUUAAUACCGUUAACGAACGAGACCUUAACCUACUAAAUAGUUACGCGAACAUUUUGUUCGUGGACAACUUCUUAGAGGGACUAAUCGUGUCUAGCGAUUGGAAGUUUGAGGCAAUAACA
rnacentral:rRNA from 1 species